GAUGAAGAACGUAGCGAAAUGCGAUAAGUAAUGCGAAUUGCAGAAUUCAGUGAAUCAUCGAAUCUUUGAACGCACAUUGCGCCCCCUGGUAUUCCGGGGGGCAUGCCUGUUCGAGCGUCAUUUCACCACUCAAGCCUCGCUUGGUAUUGGGCAACGCGGUCCGCCGCGUGCCUCAAAUCGACCGGCUGGGUCUUCUGUCCCCUAAGCGUUGUGGAAACUAUUCGCUAAAGGGUGUUCGGGAGGCUACGCCGUAAAACAACCCCAUUUCUAAGGUUGACCUCGGAUCAGGUAGGGAUACCCGCUGAACUUAAGCAUAUCAAUAAGCGGAGGA
rnacentral:misc_RNA from 1 species